CGUUAAGUAGACCGCCUGGGGAGUACGGCCGCAAGGUUAAAACUCAAAUGAAUUGACGGGGGCCCGCACAAGCGGUGGAGCAUGUGGUUUAAUUCGAUGCAACGCGAAGAACCUUACCUGGUCUUGACAUCCACAGAAGAAUCCAGAGAUGGAUUGGUGCCUUCGGGAACUGUGAGACAGGUGCUGCAUGGCUGUCGUCAGCUCGUGUUGUGAAAUGUUGGGUUAAGUCCCGCAACGAGCGCAACCCUUAUCCUUUGUUGCCAGCGAUUAGG
rnacentral:rRNA from 1 species